AUCCAGCUGACGAAUCCCAAACAGGACGAAAUGCGCGUCUUGGAU
rnacentral:hammerhead_ribozyme from 1 species